GAGCGCCUUGACGGCAACGAGGAAGUGGUACGAGGACUCGUGCGAGGACUGGAGCCCAYCAGGGAGCUUCUUUUUCCUGAACAAAGGCGCCGUCCCAGAGGACACCCGAGUUGACCAGGAGUCYGUGGAUACAUCGACACCGAUCCAUAUCCAGAGGCCGGAGAGCGUCGU